UACGAAGGGGGCUAGCGUUGCUCGGAAUCACUGGGCGUAAAGGGCGCGUAGGCGGCGUUUUAAGUCGGGGGUGAAAGCCUGUGGCUCAACCACAGAAUUGCCUUCGAUACUGGGACGCUUGAGUGUGGUAGAGGUUGGUGGAACUGCGAGUGUAGAGGUGAAAUUCGUAGAUAUUCGCAAGAACACCAGUGGCGAAGGCGGCUCACUGGACCACAACUGACGCUGAGGUGCGAAAGCGUGGGGAGCAAACAGG
rnacentral:rRNA from 1 species